rnacentral:rRNA from 1 species
GACGAACGCUGGCGGCGUGCUUAACACAUGCAAGUCGAACGGAAAGGCCCUACUUGCCGUGUGCUCGCGAGUCGAGAAGGGGAGUGACACGUGGGGGUGAUGUGCCCUACACUGCGGUAUAACUGGGGGAAAGGGGGUCUUACACGGGAGAGGCCGACUGUAGGGAGGGUGGUGGGGAGAGUAGUUUCGGUGUGGGAUGAGCUCGCGGCCUAUCAGCUUGUUGGUGGGGUAAUGGCCUACCAAGGCGUCGACGGGUAGCCGGCCUGAGAGGGUGGACGGCCACCUUGGGGCCUGGGAUACGCCCCAGACCCCUACGGGGGGAGGAGUGGGGAAUAAUUGCCCAAUGGGGGAAGCCUGGUUGCGGGGCGGCGGCGUGGGGGAUGCCGGCCUCCGGGUUGAAACCUCCUUUAGCCAGGGCGAAAGCGUUUUUGUGACGGUAGCUGGAGAAGAAGCACCGGCUAACUACGUG